AGGACGAACGCUGGCGGCGUGCUUAACACAUGCAAGUCGAGCGGAAAGGCCCUUCGGGGUACUCGAGCGGCGAACGGGUGAGUAACACGUGAGUAACCUGCCCCUAGCUCUGGGAUAGCUCCGGGAAACCGGGAUUAAUACCAGAUACGACCACUUUAGACAUCUUUUGUGGUGGAAAGGAUUCCGGCUAGGGAUGGGCUCGCGGCCUAUCAGCUUGUUGGUGGGGUAACGGCCUACCAAGGCGACGACGGGU
rnacentral:rRNA from 1 species